CAUGCUUCAGUGCUCUGAGAGAGUUUAUAGAGCUGUGAGUUUAACACUUCAUGACUGAGAGCAGAACAGAACACAAUCUUCAUCAUCACACAAGACACAACAACAACAAUGAACAACAUCAUCAUCCUCAUCUGGACUCUCACACUGUUUGCUCAAGAGAGUAGAGGACAGAUCACUGUAACUCAGAGUCCAUCAAUAACAGCAGCUCAACCAGGACAAGAAGUCAGAAUCAACUGUAAAACCAGCAGUAAUGUGUAUAAUGGUAAUCGUUUAGCCUGGUAUUUACAGAAACCUGGAGAAGCUCCUAAACUCCUCAUAUAUCUUGCAUCAACCCGUUUCACUGGAACUCCAUCUAGAUUCAGUGGCAGUGGAUCUAACAGUGAUUUCACUCUGACCAUCAGUGGAGUCCAGACUGAAGAUACAGGAGAUUAUUACUGUCAGAGUUUACACUCUAUUAGUGGUAGCUUGGUGUUCACACAGUGAUAAAGAGUCGUACAAAAACCUCCGUCAGUCAGAGUCACAGUGACUGCACUGAUACAGCUGAGAGAUACUGCAGCUGCUGAUGGAUGUGAUGAAUCUCAGUCACUCUUGUCUGUAGAUCAUUAAAUUUCAAUGCAGAAAACUAACUAUCUAUUAGCAGAAACCAAACAUUUACAUUCAUAAGUUUAAUGAAGGACACUUUUCCAUCAUUAAAGUUUAUGAAAUAGCCUCAAAGUCCAGAUUGAGUCUUUCCUUCACUACACAACUCUCAGACUACAUGAAUCACUGCUGCUCACAUCACACAAGACUUGUGCUCAUCUGUCAUCUCUGUGUUGCAGUGAUGCAGCUUCUAAAGUCUAGUCCAGUAUUUCACUAACAUGUGAUUUUGGGAGGCUGAGGUGGAGAGAGAGGAAGUUUUUUCAUGAUCAGGAGCUGGAUGGAGUUUGUAGAUCAUGAACAGCGAGAACAUCACAGUCACUGCUAGAGACACCACCGGGCUUUUUGACUUUUCAGACUUUUUGUGACAUUUACUUCAAGCUGUAUUUCUGAACAUUGCACAGUUCUGCAAAACACUGAUAGGAAAUUAUGCAAAUAAUAAACUAUAACAAAUA